rnacentral:tRNA from 1 species
GGGGGAUUAGCUCAGCUGGGAGAGCGCGACAAUGGCAUUGUCGAGGUCACGGGUUCGAUCCCCGUAUCCUCCACCA